UAGGGAAUAUUGCUCAAUGGGGGAAACCCUGAAGCAGCAACGCCGCGUGGAGGAUGAAGGUCUUCGGAUUGUAAACUUAUUUUAUCAGGGAAGAAAAAAAUGACUGUACCUGAAGAAGAAGCACCGGCUAACUCCGUGCCAGCAGCCGCGGUAAUACGGAGGGUGCAAGCGUUACUCGGAAUCACUGGGCGUAAAGAGCGCGUAGGCGGGAUAGCAAGUCAGAUGUGAAAUCCUAUGGCUUAACCAUAGAACUGCAUUUGAAACUGUUAUUCUAGAGUAUGGGAGAGGCAGGUGGAGUUCUUGGUGUAGGGGUAAAAUCCGUAGAGAUCAAGAGGAAUACUCAUUGCGAAGGCGACCUGCUAGAACAUAACUGACGCUGAUGCGCGAAAGCGUGGGGAGCAAACAGG
rnacentral:rRNA from 1 species